AAAAUGUUUGAUUUAAGAGUUUUUUCAAGUCACGAUUAAUAUAACAUAGGAGAUUUAAAAUACUCCGCCAAAAUGACUCAUACUCAUUUUUAAUUUCUAAACUUUGGUCAAUGAACAACAUUACAACUGCAUGGUUUCUACGGCUUCUAGAAACCUGAAAUAGUCAGUAAAUUUGUAUUUCAAACUUUAAUCUCCAUUUUAUUAACAGCCUCAUACAAACCUAUCACUCAUCUUCCAAUCAUCUCAAAAUUAUUCGAAAAACUACUUCUAAAACACUUGAAACCUUAAGAGAGCUUGUACUGGAAAACCAAUUUGGAUUUCGAAAUAAACACUCAACCAUCGACCAGGUCCAUUGCGUCAUAAACGUGAUAAACAAAGAGCUUGAAGAAAAGAAGUAUUGCUGCGAGUAUUCCUUGACGUAGCACAAGCUUUCUAUAAAGUUUGGCACAAAGAAUUGCUUAUAAAGUUACGUAAAUAGUUGCCGUAUACUUGGUGCACACUUCUCGAAUCCUACUUGACUGAUCGUCAAUUCAUGGUCAUCCACAAAGAAGUAGUAACUGAAUGGAAAAAUAUAUCAGCGGAUGUACCACAGGGAAG